UACGGGGGGGGCAAGCGUUGUUCGGAAUUACUGGGCGUAAAGGGCUCGUAGGUGGCCAACUAAGUCGGACGUGAAAUCCCUCAGCUUAACUGGGGAACUGCGUCCGAUACUGGAUGGCUCGAGUUUGGGAGAGGGAUGCAGAAUUCCAGGUGUAGCGGUGAAAUGCGUAGAUAUCUGGAGGAACAUCGGUGGCGAAGGCGGCAUCCUGGACCAACACUGACACUGAGGAGCGAAAGCCAGGGGAGCAAACGGG
rnacentral:rRNA from 1 species